ensembl:snRNA U1 U1 spliceosomal RNA
AUACCUACCUGGCAGGGGAGAUACCAUGAUCAAGAAGGUGGUUCACCCAGGGCAACGCUUGGCCAUUGCACUCCGCGCUGACCACUGCGAAUUCCCCAAAUGUUGGAAUCUCGACGUCAUAAUUUCUGGUAGUGGGGGACUGCGUUCGCGAUCUCCCCUG